CCUACGGGAGGUAGCAGUGGGGAAUAUUGCACAAUGGGGGAAACCCUGAUGCAGCAACGCCGCGUGAGUGAAGAAGGAUUUCGGUAUGUAAAGCUCUAUCAGCAGGGAAGAAGAUGACGGUACCUGACCAAGAAGCCCCGGAUAACUACGUGCCAGCAGCCGCGGUAAUACGUAGGGGGCAAGCGUUAUCCGGAUUUACUGGGGGUAAAGGGCGCGCAGACGGCAGUGCAAGUCUGGAGUGAAAGCCCGGGGCCACACCCCGGCACUGCUCUGGAAACUGUGCGGCUAGAGCACUGGAGGGGCAGGCGGAAUUCCUAGUGUAGCGGUGAAAUGCGUAGAUAUUAGGAGGAACACCAGUGGCGAAGGCGGCCUGCUGGACAGUAACUGACGUUGAGGCUCGAAAGCGUGGGGAGCAAACAGGAUUAGAUACCCGAGUAGUC
rnacentral:rRNA from 1 species